rnacentral:rRNA from 1 species
AGUGGCGAACGGGUGAGUAACACGUGGGCAAUCUGCCCUGCACUCUGGGACAAGCCCUGGAAACGGGGUCUAAUACCGGAUACUGACCUGCCAAGGCAUCUUGGCGGGUCGAAAGCUCCGGCGGUGCAGGAUGAGCCCGCGGCCUAUCAGCUUGUUGGUGAGGUAAUGGCUCACCAAGGCGACGACGGGUAGCCGGCCUGAGAGGGCGACCGGCCACACUGGGACUGAGACACGGCCCAGACUCCUACGGGAGGCAGCAGUGGGGAAUAUUGCACAAUGGGCGAAAGCCUGAUGCAGCGACGCCGCGUGAGGGAUGACGGCCUUCGGGUUGUAAACCUCUUUCAGCAGGGAAGAAGCGAAAGUGACGGUACCUGCAGAAGAAGCGCCGGCUAACUACGUGCCAGCAGCCGCGGUAAUACGUAGGGCGCAAGCGUUGUCCGGAAUUAUUGGGCGUAAAGAGCUCGUAGGCGGCUUGUCGCGUCGGUUGUGAAAGCCCGGGGCUUAACCCCGGGUCUGCAGUCGAUACGGGCAGGCUAGAGUUCGGUAGGGGAGAUCGGAAUUCCUGGUGUAGCGGUGAAAUGCGCAGAUAUCAGGAGGAACACCGGUGGCGAAGGCGGAUCUCUGGGCCGAUACUGACGCUGAGGAGCGAAAGCGUGGGGAGCGAACAGGAUUAGAUACCCUGGUAGUCCACGCCGUAAACGGUGGGCACUAGGUGUGGGCAACAUUCCACGUUGUCCGUGCCGCAGCUAACGCAUUAAGUGCCCCGCCU